rnacentral:rRNA from 1 species
UACGUAGGUGACAAGCGUUGUCCGGAAUCACUGGGCGUAAAGGGCGCGUAGGCGGCCUGAUAAGUAGGGGGUGAAAUCCUGCGGCUUAACCGCAGGGCUGCCUUCUAAACUGUCGGGCUAGAGCACGGUAGAGGCAGAUGGAAUUCCCGGUGUAGCGGUGGAAUGCGUAGAGAUCGGGAAGAACAUCAGUGGCGAAGGCGGUCUGCUGGGCCGUUGCUGACGCUGAGGCGCGACAGCGUGGGGAGCAAACAGG